AGAGUUUGAUCCUGGCUCAGAACGAACGCUGGCGGCGUGCCUCAAACAUGCAAGUCGAACGAGGUGUAUGUGAGGUAACUCUCGUACACCUAGUGGCGAACGGGUGAGUAACACGUGGGUAAUCUACCUCUUGGACGGGGAUAACAUCUCGAAAGGGAUGCUAAUACCCGAUGAUAUCCGUCGCUCCACGGAGCGGCAGAUCAAAGGUGGCUUAGGCUUUGCCGCUACCACCGAGAGAUGAGCCCGCGGCCCAUUAGCUUGUUGGCGGGGUAAAAGCCCACCAAGGCGACGAUGGGUAGCCGGCCUGAGAGGGUGAUCGGCCACACUGGGACUGAGAUACGGCCCAGACUCCUACGGGAGGCAGCAGUUGGGAAUAUUGCGCAAUGGGCGAAAGCCUGACGCAGCGACGCCGCGUGAGCGAUGAAGGCCUUCGGGUUGUAAAGCUCUGUUCUGCGGAAAGAACACCCCGGAUUCGAAUAGGUUCCGGGUUUGACGGUACCGCAGAAGAAAGCCCCGGCUAACUCCGUGCCAGCAGCCGCGGUAAUACGGAGGGGGCGAGCGUUGUUCGGAAUUACUGGGCGUAAAGGGUGCGUAGGCGGCCUUUCAAGUCGGAUGUGAAAUGUCCCGGCUCAACCGGGGACCUGCGUCCGAUACUGUUGGGCUUGAGUACAGGAUGAGAGAGCGGAAUUCCCAGUGUAGCGGUGAAAUGCGUAGAUAUUGGGAGGAACACCGGUGGCGAAAGCGGCUCUCUGGCCUGAAACUGACGCUGAGGCACGAAAGCUAGGGUAGCAAACGGGAUUAGAUACCCCGGUAGUCCUAGCCGUAAACGAUGGGCACUAGGUGUAGGAGGUAUCGACCCCCUCUGUGCCGGAGCUAACGCAUUAAGUGCCCCGCCUGGGGAGUACGGUCGCAAGACUGAAACUCAAAGGAAUUGACGGGGGCCCGCACAAGCGGUGGAGCAUGUUCUUCAAUUCGACGCAACGCGAAGAACCUUACCAGGGCUUGACAUCCCUUGACAGCCCGGGAAACCGGGUCUUCUCUUCGGAGACGGGGAGACAGGUGCUGCAUGGCUGUCGUCAGCUCGUGUCGUGAGAUGUUGGGUUAAGUCCCGCAACGAGCGCAACCCUUGUCCUUAGUUGCCAGCACGUAAUGGUGGGAACUCUAAGGAGACUGCCGGUGAUAAACCGGAGGAAGGUGGGGAUGACGUCAAGUCAGCAUGGUCCUUACGCCCUGGGCUAGAAACGUGCUACAAUGGCCGGUACAGAGGGCUGCAAUACCGUGAGGUGGAGCCAAUCCCAAAAAACCGGUCUCAGUUCGGAUUGGAGUCUGCAACUCGACUCCAUGAAGCUGGAAUCGCUAGUAAUCGCGGAUCAGCAAUGCCGCGGUGAAUACGUUCCCGGGCCUUGUACACACCGCCCGUCACAUGACCCGAGUUGGGUGUACCCGAAGUCGCCGUACCAACCCUGACUGUUUUCGGACAGAUUGAUGGGAGGAAGGUGCCGAAGGUGUGCCUGGCAAGGGGGAU
rnacentral:rRNA from 1 species